AAUUCUCAACCUUGAGCCAGUUUUGCGACUGGGUCAAGGCUUGGAUGUGAGGGCUUUGCUGGCUUCCUUCAGUGGAUGGUCUGCUCCCUUUAAAUGUAUUAGUGGGAUCCUUUGUGGACCGUCACUUGGUGUGAUAAUUAUCUACGCCUUGUUGACUGUGGAAGCAAAACUUAUGGGACCCUGCUUAUAACCGUCCUUCGGGACAAUUUAUUGACCAUUUGACCUCAAAUCAGGUAGGACUACCCGCUGAACUUAAGCAUAUCAAUAAGCGGAGGAAAAGAAACUAACAAGGAUUCCCCUAGUAACUGCGAGUGAAGCGGGAAAAGCUCAAAUUUAAAAUCUGGCAGCUUCGCUGUCCGAGUUGUAAUUUAGAGAAGUGUUACCCGUGCUGGACCGUGUACAAGUCUCCUGGAAUGGAGCGUCAUAGAGGGUGAGAAUCCCGUCUUUGACACGGACUACCAGUACAUUGUGGUGCACUCUCGAAGAGUCGAGUUGUUUGGGAAUGCAGCUCAAAAUGGGUGGUAAAUUCCAUCUAAAGCUAAAUAUUGGGGAGAGACCGAUAGCGAACAAGUACCGUGAGGGAAAGAUGAAAAGAACUUUGGAAAAAGAGUUAAACAGUACGUGAAAUUGCUGAAAGGGAAACGCUUGAAGUCAGUCGCGUUGUGCGGGAUUCAGCCUGGCUUUUGCUUGGUGUACUUCCUGUAUGACGGGUCAGCAUCAGUUUUGACCGGUGGAUAAGGAUACAGGAAAUGUGGCAUCUUCGGAUGUGUUAUAGUCUUGUGUCGCAUACAUCGGUUGGGACUGAGGAACUCAGCACGCCGAAAGGCCGGGUUUUUAACCACGUUCGUGCUUAGGAUGCUGGCAUAAUGGCUUUAAUCGACCCGUCUUGAAACACGGACC
rnacentral:rRNA from 1 species